rnacentral:rRNA from 1 species
UACGUAGGGCGCAAGCGUUGUCCGGAAUUAUUGGGCGUAAAGAGCUCGUAGGCGGCUUGUCACGUCGGAUGUGAAAGCUUGGGGCUUAACUCCAGGUCUGCAUUCGAUACGGGCUGGCUAGAGGUAGGUAGGGGAGAACGGAAUUCCUGGUGUAGCGGUGAAAUGCGCAGAUAUCAGGAGGAACACCGGUGGCGAAGGCGGUUCUCUGGGCCUUACCUGACGCUGAGGAGCGAAAGCGUGGGGAGCGAACAGG